UGGCGGAAAACGCCUAGAGAAUGGGAGGGAAACCCAGGGAGGAGGGAGCUUCUUGGUUCUUCAAGAAACCCUAGGCCCCAAAGCCCUGGGGACCAACCACGAGUUAAUCCCCCUGGUAGUACACCCGCGUAAACCGAUGAGUGCUAAGUGGUAGAGGGUUUCCGCCCUUUAGUGCUGCAGCAAACGCAUUAAGCAUUCCGCCUGGGGAGUACGGCCGCAAGGGUGAAACUCAAAGGAAUNGACGGGGACCCGCACAAGCGGUGGAGCAUGUGGUUUAAUUCGAAGCGACGCGAAGAACCUUANCAGGUCUUGACAUCCUCUGACCAUCCUAGAGAUAGGACCUUCCCCUUCGGGGGACAGAGUGACAGGUGGUGCAUGGUUGUCGUCAGCUCGUGUCGUGAGAUGUUGGGUUAAGUCCCGCAACGAGCGCAACCCUUGUCCUUAGUUGCCAGCAUUCAGUUGGGCACUCUAAGGAGACUGCCGGUGUUAAACCGGAGGAAGGCGGGGAUGACGUCAAGUCCUCAUGGCCCUUAUGGGUAGGGCUUCACACGUAAUACAAUGGCGCGUACAGAGGGCUGCUAAGCCGCGAGGUAGAGCCAAUCCCUUAAAGCGCGUCGUAGUCCGGAUUGCAGUCUGCAACUCGACUGCAUGAAGUCGGAAUCGCUAGUAAUCGCGGAUCAGCAUGUCGCGGUGAAUACGUUCCCGGGUCUUGUACACACCGCCCGUCACACCAUGGGAGUGGGUUUCACCAGAAGCCGGUCGCCUAACCGCAAGGAGGGCGCCGACCACGGUGAGAUUCAUGACUGGGAUGAAGUCGUAACAAGGUAAAUCGAAUUCCCGCGGCC
rnacentral:rRNA from 1 species